CCGAAUGGUUUUAUUCAAGUCCCCUUGCCACCUGUCCCAGCUCCACUGCUGCUAAACCCCGCCCCGUCCCAGGAAAAUUUGCAGGCUGAGCUGGAUGACUGGCCAUGGCAAACGGAGAUCAAUCUAAUGGAGAUGAAUCAACCUCAAGGUUUAACUGUGAGGACUUUUGUCUGUCC